ACAAGCGGUGGAGCAUGUGGUUUAAUUCGAUGCAACGCGAAGAACCUUACCUGGGCUUGACAUCCACGGAACCUGCUGGAAACAGUGGGUGCCUUUCGGGAGCCGUGAGACAGGUGCUGCAUGGCUGUCGUCAGCUCGUGUCGUGAGAUGUUGGGUUAAGUCCCGCAACGAGCGCAACCCUUGUCUUUAAUUGCCAUCAUUCAGUUGGGCACUUUAAAGAGACUGUCGGUGUUAAACCGGAGGAAGGUGGGGAUGACGUCAAAUCAUCAUGCCCCUUAUGACCUGGGCUACACACGUGCUACAAUGGUUGGUACAACGAGUUGCGAGUCGGUGACGGCGAGCUAAUCUCUUAAAGCCAAUCUCAGUUCGGAUUGUAGGCUGCAACUCGCCUACAUGAAGUCGGAAUCGCUAGUAAUCGCGGAUCAGCACGCCGCGGUGAAUACGUUCCCGGGCCUU
rnacentral:rRNA from 1 species